ACUAAUGUUAAGCACUGGUCCCCGGCACCGAGCGGCAAUUUAUCAUCUUUCUUGGCAGGCUUCCUACUUCGUCCUGCACCUGCCUCCUUGAAAGAAAACAAGACAUCAGAUACUUAUUCAAAUAAUGCAAUAGCUGAUCAGCAGAGUAUCUACACAAUGAUGUUCAGUUUUCCCCACACUGAAGGACAAUGGGGCUCAGCUUUGAAGCAGAUAAAGUGCUCUGUUGCUGAAAUCACAGGACAUGGAAGGAUUGUGUGCAGAGCAGAUGACACUCCUCAGAGUAGAUGCAGAAGGUGAACAGGUGCAAGAUCUUAGCCCAUCAAAAUCUGGGAAGCGGAAUGAAUAGGCUCAAAGCCCUGCUAAAGACAGGUUUGAGUGAGACUGAAUCCGAGCCAGAGUGCUGGGACCCUUGUUUUAUUGGGCAAUUGUCUAAGACUUGGGAUGGUACAGACACUUUACCCCAGAUGACGACUCUUCCAGCAUUUUACAAACGUUUAUUAUUCCCAUAUCACAGACCAAGGUAUUUUUGCAAGGUUUCUAAGAGGACAAUGAAGUGAGAGCACUGCCAAUGCUGGGAAUUAGAGUGUUGGAAGAACCAGUUGAAGGUUCUCAUGGAGAAAAAGACAGAUUUUGCACAAGAGUUGAGAUUUCUGACCUCUGUAGAAGACCAAUGUGAGUCUCUUCCUGUAGACUCAGGAAGAUGUCCCAGCCUUGAUCACAGAAAUCCCCAAAAAGCAGACCAGCAACAGGAAGAGGAGGAGGAAGAAGCACAAGUUUGCUCAGAACUCAAAAAGGCUCAGAUCUGCCUUGUCUAAGUGCUGAAAAUAUGACCAUCUCCAGCUCCCAAAAUGGAAACUCCACCAGGGAUGGUGAGUGGAUAUUACUUUAUCACUGGCUCUAGGCCUCCACCUGCUGCGUCAGAAAUGCCAUGGCCAUGGGGCAAAGCCACGACCUGCGUCGAUCAACUUUGUACCUGCAAGUUACACGCCAGUCGACUUUUUGGCAAAAUACUGCAUCUUCAGCCAGGAGAAGUUGGCGAAGUACAAAAGGGCUUUUGAAGCGCAUGGACCAGAGUGUGAAAUAUUGGGACCACAGCAAAGUGUCUGCACCUCCCCACAGCUGGAGAACACUUCCCACACAGCUUCUGUCCCUCUACUCGUUCAGUGUGGACCUGUGGAGCACUUUUCUCUGCUUAACGGCUCCCUUGGGUGCCAGGUUUCAGACCUUGGGCUCUCCCUUGAGCAGAUCAAAGGCAUAUUUGAAGGAUUUUGCUAAGCUUUCACCUUUACAAGUUCCAUACUUGGGAUAUAAAAUUGAAAGAAGUAUGAUACUCAAGUUUCAGGAUAUUCUGGUGCUGUUCUUUCACUCUAGGCUUCUUUUCCUUGUUUCUUUCCCUUAAUGCUAUUGCUACAUUAUGGUAUUGAUUGAACUGCAAACACAAAUCGAUGCAGCUGGUGAACUUGAGAGCAGGGGAGGGAAUGAGCAAUUUUGUGGUUACAAGUAUAGAAUACCUUCAUAUUUCCUUCUGAAUCUCUCUUUCUCCAUAAAACACAGAAGUUCUUCUUGUCCACACUGCAUCACAGAAGCAUUUUAUACUCUUUUUCUGGUUUGUGAAGAACAGUUCUUAGUAUGGAGUAAACUCUUUCAAUUUUUAAACAUCACCAUUACAAGUUAUUUUGGGAGAUUAUAAGCAAAAAUAGGGGCUGAAAAAAUCUUCUAAGAUGCCAAGCCAACUUCUAAGCUCUACUUCAGGAAAGCAAUUUUAUCCCUCCCUAUAAUGACAGGUCACUGAUCUCACAUCUCUUCUAGCACCUUGAGAACCAGUAAAGAGAAGGGUGAAUUCUAACUUUUAAGAAAGCUCUAAAUUAUAUACCAACUGUUGAAUCUGAAGAGGGAAUGUUUUAUAUUGAUCCUGUAAUAGAAUCAUAGAAUCAUUAAGGUUGGAAAAGACCACUAAGAUCAUCUAGUCAUCAACCUAUACCUACCAUGCCCACUAAAUCAUGUCACAGGAAUAGAUGAGCCUGGUAAAACUUCAAGUGUAACAAAAGAACACGCCACUACCAUGAAUACAUUUUCUCCAUGGGGCAUAUUUAUUUAAACCUCAAAGUAGGAUGUGUAAUGAUUUGUGGUCCAGAGCAAUCUAAUUCAACUAGAUGCAAAGCAAAUCAGGCCUAGAAACCCAACAGCUUUGUUAAAAGUUGUACAUUCUAAUUUGCUGGGGACAAGGUCUGUCCCCUACUCAACCUCAGCACUGCCCUGACUGUGAAUAAAUUGUUCCCAGACCUACAUUGGUUGGUGUGGGCUGUGGCAUACUGGCCCAUGUGGAUUUACCAGUUCAGCUCUCCAUCAGCUGUGGCACCUGUGCUGUCCUCCAGUUUGUGAUGCAGACAUGACUGUCAUCUUCUCUGCAACUUACAUCUUUCAAAUCUAGCAAGAAUGCUCUAGAUUAUUGCAAUGUCUAUGCCAGUCAUGUUCUGGGUGCUACUUAUAAUUUGGCAGAUGAGCAGUUAAUCUCCAUGAUAAGAGUUAUGCUGUUUAUUUCAGGAUGCUCUGAGUUAUGCUAUCGUGCACCUGGGAGUUGUUAAGUUUCUUCCUCUGCAAGGUGCUGUGGCCAAGCCCAUUAGAUUUGGUGGAGACCUUGAAGAUUUUAUUGAAGGGGCAGAAGACGACACUUUCUGAAGAUGGAGGAAGCUUUUUUAGGCUAUAGGAAGAGAAGAGAAGGAGUCUUAGAGAGAUGUCACAGGGUGGACAAAAGACCUCUCUACUUUACUAUGAGAGACA